CCUACGGGAGGCAGCAGUGGGGAAUAUUGCACAAUGGGCGCAAGCCUGAUGCAGCGACGCCGCGUGCGGGAUGGAGGCCUUCGGGUUGUAAACCGCUUUUAUAGGGGGGCAAGCUAUGCCUGUGUGGUGUGGUGAGUGGACUUUAUGAAUAAGCACCGGCUAACUACGUGCCAGCAGCCGCGGUAAUACGUAGGGUGCAAGCGUUGUCCGGAUUUAUUGGGCGUAAAGGGCUCGUAGGCGGUUUGUUGCGUCUGGUGUGAAAGCUUACUGCUUAACGGUAGGUUGCGCUGGAUACGGGCAGGCUUGAGUGCAGUAGGGGAGACUGGAAUUCUCGGUGUAACGGUGGAAUGUGUAGAUAUCGGGAAGAACACCUAUGGCGAAGGCAGGUCUCUGGGCUGUUACUGACGCUGAGGAGCGAAAGCGUGGGGAGCGAACAGGAUUAGAUACCCUGGUAGUC
rnacentral:rRNA from 1 species